CCAAGUCGCAAAGAAAUUGUGGACUGGGUGACCACGGCAUACUGCAGUUUGCAGGCUGCUGAACAGGAAAUUCUCUGUGAUGCUGUCAUGACCUAAGCAGACACCUUCCCCACAAAAUAGCCAAUUAAGAAUGAAAUUCUGGAAACUGUACGUAGAAGUUUUCUGGUCACUGGGCUUACAGCGGGUGCUAAUAGGAGUGAAGAUCACUUCAUUGAGAAUCUGUCAAUGAUUCCAAGAGCCAAUAACUGUGUUUAGUUCUCAGCAGAGCAGUGUCUGUAAGAGCAUGGUGGUCAUUGGAGUAACAGUAGCACCGUCCAAUGUAGGAACAUUGAUAUUUUGUGUAGAGAACAGUCAUUAAAAGUUUUUAAAUCAUUAUUAAGAUAUUAUUUUAAUAAAGUGGAAAAUAACAUCAUGAUAAUUAGAGAUGCUAUAGUAUAAUUAUGAUAAUUUGUGUGGCAGUGUGUUACUAACAUAUGAACUGCAUGUUUGUUUCCUAACUCAUUACAGAUAAUGUUUGACUAAUUUUCAUAAAAACUUGUUCAGCCAAUAUGGGAGAGCUCUUUAUUUUCAUACAAGAAUGUUAUUUUUAUUUGGGUUGUCAUUUGGAAGAACAAGACAGAAAUUGGAUACCACAUGCAUGCUCCAUAUUAUUACAUGUUAUCAAAAAAUUUGAAAAUUUAUGUUAGUGGAUGUAUUAAACAUGUUGAUCUCUCUGCUGACCCAAGAAAGUGAAGGAAUCCAUUUCUGAGCUGUAAGCUCUGUUGAGGUGAAUGCAUGCAUAGCAGGUGACCUAUAACUUAAAGCCAAGACAAUGAACUAAUUCAGGUAUUUUAACAACUUGUGCUUACAUCAUGCUUGACUGAAUUGUAUUUCAAGCACUAAAUUAUAUUGUAACUAUAGCAACAUGAAGAUGGCUGUCGUGUGGGAUGUGGCACUGCGUAAUCUGGUGCUACCACAUACAGAAUUCUGGUUCCAAAUGGUUGCUCAAGCAUCAGUGGUGGAACCAUCAUUGUUUAUUUCCUGAGGGUGCCACUAGCGAGGUAUUCCCCGGUGAUGACGAACCUCCAUAGGUGGCUGCCCUCUCAGGUCAUAAUCCAGAUCUUCCCAAGGCAAGCUGAAACGGGAACAGACUAAUGGUGAAAGCCAUGUUCUGGGAAGGGGGAUGUAAGAUUAAAGGCUACAUGAGCGAGGGACCUCCUGGAUUCCCUUUGUCCCUUGGGGAGUACAAAGUAAUUGUGUAGUUCUUAGAUGGUGGAUGACAAUCAGAGAGACAGACAAGGCUCAUAAGGCAAUGAAGUUAUAGGUCUAAUACCAUCUGACUGUGAUCGGCUUGCUUAUAAUAAUAGUAAUAACGACAACAAGAACAAGAACUCGAGAACAAUGAAUGUAAGCGUUAACUGAAUGACAUUUAACAAAAAACUAGAUUAUAAACAAGUACUGGUAUUAUGUAUAUGAUUCUAAUGAGUUUUUUAUGGCUGUAGCAGUCACUAAUACCUAAUUAAGAUUUAUUAAAUUUGUUAUGUUACUGGAAAUCACACUUAUUAAAUCUACAUAUAAAUCCAAUUGAAGUUAGAAAACAGAACACCAACACUGACCUUUCAAUGUGAACACAAACAAUUUGUUAAUAAAAAUAUACUAAUGUUUA